GAUGAAGAACGCAGCGAAAUGCGAUAAGUAAUGUGAAUUGCAGAAUUCAGUGAAUCAUCGAAUCUUUGAACGCACAUUGCGCCCGCCAGUAUUCUGGCGGGCAUGCCUGUUCGAGCGUCAUUACAACCCUCAGGCCCCCGGGCCUGGCGUUGGGGAUCGGCGGAGCCCCCCGUGGGCACACGCCGUCCCCCAAAUGCAGUGGCGGUCCCGCCGCAGCUUCCAUCGCGUAGUAGCUAACACCUCGCGACUGGAGAGCGGCGCGGCCACGCCGUAAAACACCAACUCUUCUGAAGUUGACCUCGAAUCAGGUAGGAAUACCCGCUGAACUUAAGCAUAUCAAUAAGCGGAGGA
rnacentral:misc_RNA from 1 species